CAUGACCAGGGGCUAUUCAUCAGCACUUGAUUGUAGCAUGGUUUCCAGGGUUCAGAUGACGAGCGGAGUGUAAAACAGGUCAGAGGUCUCUUACUUUGUUUCUUGAUCACAGUACAUUGGAGGAGACUCUCCAGCCCAUUGUUACUUGAGUGAUACUGUGUCUUGGUCCUGCAGUUAAAGCAGUAGUGGGAAGAAGUUCACACAGGCCUAUGUAGCAAUGACCUUCAAACCUGCCUCCUCCCCAGCCCCAGCAGCUGGGGUUAUUUGCUGUGUUUUAUGGUAGCCUGUUUUUUUAGAGUUGAUCAGAAUGAAAAUGUGUGAUUUGAACCAUGCUUGACUAUCAAGCUUCAUUACAACUUUCCAGAAAACAUGGUCUUUACUGCGUGCUCAGUAAAGCUGGGGCGGCCAGCAGCCAUGCUCCCUGCGUGGAC
rnacentral:lncRNA from 1 species